rnacentral:rRNA from 1 species
UACGGAGUUACAAAGGACGACAUUAGACGAAUCAUCUGGAAAGAUGAAUCAAAGAAGGUAAUAAUCCUGUAGUCGAAAAUGUUGUCUCUCUUGAGUGGAUCCUGAGUACGACGGAGCACGUGAAAUUCCGUCGGAAUCUGGGAGGACCAUCUCCUAAGGCUAAAUACUCUCUAGUGACCGAUAGUGAACCAGUACCGUGAGGGAAAGGUGAAAAGCACCCCGGAAGGGGAGUGAAAUAGAACCUGAAACCGUGUGCUUACAAGUAGUCAGAGCCCGUUAAUGGGUGAUGGCGUGCCUUUUGUAGAAUGAACCGGCGAGUUACGAUUUGAUGCAAGGUUAAGCAGUAAAUGUGGAGCCGUAGCGAAAGCGAGUCUGAAUAGGGCGUUUAGUAUUUGGUCGUAGACCCGAAACCAGGUGAUCUACCCUUGGUCAGGUUGAAGUUCAGGUAACACUGAAUGGAGGACCGAACCGACUUACGUUGAAAAGUGAGCGGAUGAACUGAGGGUAGCGGAGAAAUUCCAAUCGAACCUGGAGAUAGCUGGUUCUCUCCGAAAUAGCUUUAGGGCUAGCCUCAAGUGAUGAUUAUUGGAGGUAGAGCACUGUUUGGACGAGGGGCCCCUCUCGGGUUACCGAAUUCAGACAAACUCCGAAUGCCAAUUAAUUUAACUUGGGAGUCAGAACAUGGGUGAUAAGGUCCGUGUUCGAAAGGGAAACAGCCCAGACCACCAGCUAAGGUCCCAAAAUAUAUGUUAAGUGGAAAAGGAUGUGGCGUUGCCCAGACAACUAGGAUGUUGGCUUAGAAGCAGCCAUCAUUUAAAGAGUGCGUAAUAGCUCACUAGUCGAGUGACACUGCGCCGAAAAUGUACCGGGGCUAAACAUAUUACCGA